GGCUUGUCUGAGUGCAGUGAUCUUUACAAUUAACUGAUCACAACCAGUCACGGAUUUCUUUGUUCCUUCUCCACUCCCACUGCUUCACUUGACUAACCUUAA
ensembl:misc_RNA Y_RNA Y RNA